UGGAGGCAGCAGUAAGGAAUAUUGCGCAAUGGGCGAAAGCCUGACGCAGUAACGCCGCGUGAGGGAUGAAGGCCUUCGGGUCGUAAACCUCUUUUCGGAGGGACGAGUGAGGACGGUACCUCUGGAAUAAGUCUCGGCUAACUACGUGCCAGCAGCCGCGGUAAAACGUAGGAGGCGAGCGUUAUCCGGAUUCACUGGGCGUAAAGCGCGUGUAGGCGGCUCGUCAAGUCGGUUGUGAAAGCCCCUGGCUCAACUGGGGGAGGUCAGCCGAGACUGAUGGGCUUGAGGGUCAGAGAGGAAGGUGGAAUUCCCGGUGUAGCGGUGGAAUGCGUAGAGAUCGGGAGGAACACCAGUGGCGAAGGCGGCCUUCUGGCUGACAGCUGACGCUGAGACGCGAAAGCGUGGGUAGCAAACGGGAUUAGAUACCCGUGUAC
rnacentral:rRNA from 1 species